UAGGGAAUCUUCCACAAUGGACGCAAGUCUGAUGGAGCAACGCCGCGUGAGUGAAGAAGGUUUUCGGACCGUAAAGCUCUGUUGUUGGUGAAGAAGGAUAGAGGUAGUAACUGGCCUUUAUUUGACGGUAAUCAACCAGAAAGUCACGGCUAACUACGUGCCAGCAGCCGCGGUAAUACGUAGGUGGCAAGCGUUGUCCGGAUUUAUUGGGCGUAAAGCGAGCGCAGGCGGAAGAAUAAGUCUGAUGUGAAAGCCCUCGGCUUAACCGAGGAAUUGCAUCGGAAACUGUUUUCUUGAGUGCAGAAGAGGAGAGUAGAACUCCAUGUGUAGCGGUGGAAUGCGUAGAUAUAUGGAAGAAUACCAGUGGCGAAGGCGGCUCUCUGGUCUGCAACUGACGCUGAGGCUCGAAAGCAUGGGUAGCGAACAGGAUUAGAUACCCUGGUAGUCCAUGCCGUAAACGAUGAGUGCUAAGUGUUGGGAGGCUUCCGCCUCUCAGUGCUGCAGCUAACGCAUUAAGCACUCCGCCUGGGGGCAGUACGACCGCAAGGUUGAAAC
rnacentral:rRNA from 1 species